UCGGUUCGGCCGGAUUUCACACAGGUGUUGCAUGGCUGUCGUCAGCUCGUGUCGUGAGAUGUUGGGUUAAGUCCCGCAACGAGCGUAACCCUCAUCCUUAGUUGCCAUCAGGUAAUGCUGAGCACUUUAAGGAAACUGCUAGUGAUAAACUGGAGGAAGGUGGGGAUGAUGUCAAGUCAUCAUGGCCCUUAUGGAGUGGGCUACACACGUGCUACAAUGGUGGCUACAAUGGGCUGCAAAGUCGCGAGGCCAAGCUAAUCCCUUAAAAGCCAUCUCAGUUCGGAUUGUACUCUGCAACUCGAGUGCAUGAAGUUGGAAUCGCUAGUAAUCGUGGAUCAGCAUGCCACGGUGAAUACGUUCUCGGGUCUUGUACACACUGCCCGUCACGCCAUGGGAAUUGGUUUCACUCGAAGCUAAUGACCUAACCGCAAGGAGGGAGUUAUUUAAAGUGGGAUCAGUGACUGGGGUGAAGUCGUAACAAGGUAAGCGUACUACA
rnacentral:rRNA from 1 species